GUCUAUCAUAGAGAAGGUUCACGUUUCAAAUAUCGUAACUUUUCGAAGGGGUACUCGGCAGAGAUGGAGGAGUCUCACCACAGACCAAUUAUAAGCGUGUUUCACCACGAAAAUAGCAGAAUUGAGAGUUUUCAGUGUUAAGUGAGAAAAAUAAUUCUAAUUCCAAUGUAAACAAAUUUACUCCUACAGAUUCGUUUAUUUUCUAUGCGCAACCGACUCGGCAUAUAAUUUAUAUAUGAUCCGUAUAGGCGUAUUUGGUUUCAAAGCAUAUACUUAGUACAUAAGUAUGUACAUAUGUAUAUAUGUUAAAAUUUGCCUAUGUCUUUCAUGAUGAUUCCAUAAAAUCAUUAAAAAUAUAUAAUAGAGUAAGCUCUGUUCAAGCGAAAAUGUUAAAAUUUCUCCUGCCGAGCUGGCAGUGGUGAAACACCUCCAUCUCGACCGAGUUUGCGAAAAAUAUUUUUACGUUCUUCGCGCCGUGAACCUUCUCUAUGAUAGACGUUCUCUGAUAAUAUGAUACGAGACUCUUUGAUUCGAGAGAGAGCUGUCAAAACUCGCAUUUUUUAUAACAUUUUCCAAUGAUGCCACUGCUGAAAAAUAUUAGAUUGGGUAAUUAUAGCGGUUAACUUCUGGCAUCCCGCCUUUUCUGAAAUCAGCUGAUCGAAAUUCCCUGAUCUUCUUCGCUGUCAAAUAUUCAGGGAACGCGUUUGAGAGAAAAAUGAGAGCCAAUGCGAAAGCAGGAAUAAAGGGAUGUCCAACUUAUUCCAGUGUGAAAGCGCCUCAAAAUUAGCGUUUUUUAUGAAAUUUUUCAUUGUAGCCAGAUCAGAAAAAGCAAAAGGCAAAAGAACGCGUUACCGAAGUUAUUUUUGUAUGCUCGGUUCCCCAGUAGGCCUAUAUCACCCACUAAAAAUUGGUUUACAUAAAAAAUGAAAAAAACAAAACGAUAACAAUUCAUAUAUAAUAGUAUAAAAAAAUAACAAAAACAAUAUCACUUCAUAUCACAGUAUAUUAAUAUAAUACUUUAAACUAUAAAAGUAAAUGUAUAUACAAAUGCCAAUAUUUAAGCCCUAAAUUCUAAUAUGUAAUUAAAGAAUUUCUGCUUAAAAAAUAUUAUUUUAGUAUAAAAUAUUUAGCACAUUGCAACCAUUAAAAAAGGAAGAUAAAAACUACAAAUGUGAAACACACAAAAUUUUAGUCUUAAAUUUGGGUAACGAUAAAUCUUUAUUUAAAAAUUUUGUCACAAAAUAAAUUCUAAUUCUAAUAAAUAGAGCAAUAACUACCUUUGGGUCAAAGUCUUCACAAGACAAGAAGGGCCUAAUAUCUUUUAAUUUAGUAAAAAGAAUUUCACCUAAUCCUAUUUUAUGACAAUUUCUGUCAAAUACCUCAACAAAUUUUAUUUCUAAAUUAUUAUUAAAUGCAACAAAUUGCUUCACUUAGUUGCAUUCAUCGAUCUGGUUUUGGUGUAUGAAGAUGAAUUCAUCAGAAGGAAUUUCAUCUCCUAAAUAAGGUAAUGACAGGAGGCAUGUGUGCAUUUUACAAAUUUUCAAAUAAAGGAAGCCGCAAAAAUAAUUAAAAGCAUUUUCCUUUAAAAAGUUAAUUUCUAAACUACUAUCUAAAGUAAUGGAUCUAACAUUGGAGUGUUCGGGCCGUGGUAAACUCUGGGAAUCCUGCCAAGAAAGGUCACUUAAAACGGAAUCAUUGCACAGAAGAAGAACAUUAUGGCUAAGUUCUGAAAUAACUGUGGCUUCGCGUUCUAAAGGCAGCUCACAGUUACCUUUUGUUACGAUAUUUACAUAGCGUAAGCCCCACGACUUUCUGAAUAAACUAGAGAACAUGAAAUGUGUAACUCCUGUACCUCCCCUAUUUCUAAUCUGACCAAAAAAUGCUUUAAGCUGUCCUGACAUAGUCGUCUUGUCUUUAGGUAAGGAAAUCCUGAGUGUGACAGCAAUCGCCACAAUCGUCUUAAACUAUUAAUAUUAAUUAACCACCCCUUAAUAAAAUUGAAAUUAUUUGUUGUGUUGUUUCCUAACUCAUCUACGACCCUAAUUGUUUUUAAAACUUUUUCUGCCUCAUCUAAAAACUGGUUUUGCUCUGGGGAGCUUAUAAAAACUUUUUUAGUGGGUACAAUGGCCUCAGUGAAACUACUAUUAAAGAUAUCGAAUAAUUUAUUGAAAAAAGAAACGAAAUCAGCGGUAUUAAUAAAGCUCAUACUAUUUGAGCUUAAGGCUCCCAAGCUGUAAAGAGAAAGCAUAACUGAAGCGACCGUAUUACUUAACACUUGAGACGCGAAUUUAACUUUUAUUUUUUGAAAGGUAUUGGGGUAAAUAUGAGCAGCGGUUAAUUUAUGCGCACACCGAUAACUCGACUUAGAGUCCUGUUUAUAGAAAUGGACUAUAUCUGACCAACAUACGCGACUAUUUUUAUAAUCAACUUUAUUUUUCAUAUUUUGUAAACAGUUUCGACAAACAAAAUGGCAAGGAACUGGCCCUAUAUUUUGAAGUUGGGUAAUGGCUUCAAGAAUAUAUUUCUUGAGGACAUCCCCUUUACAUGAGCCUCUGACAAAAAAGUAAGCUAACGGGUGGGACCAAGGUUCCCCACUUAUACCUUGCACCAUUAUGUUCAUUGCAGUUGUGGCUAUUCUAGAUGUGCGAUUUUCAUCUCCAUAAUCUUCAACACCUAUCACCCUAUCAAAUUUCCUAUCACACUGCAAAUGACAUUUCAGUGAAAUUUCAUCGCAAGAAACUGAUAUGAACUUUUGCUCGAAAGAAAAUCCCUUUCUCCUAAAUUGUAAAGACUUAAUGCUGGAAAAAAAGCUAAAGUUUUAAAAAAAACUAUCAUAUCGCCGACCGUGAUUUUGGCGAUUACUAUUUAAAAAACUACUCCUCCUAACUGAGGAGGAACUUUGCUGCAAACUAUCUCAAGAGGGUCUGACUCUUCCCUAAAUGAACUACUUCUUAACAUUUCCCUACAUCUUUCUAAUUCAGUUGCCAUUUGGACCAACUGAGCUUUUCUUUUCUAUCUGUCCCUGCUGUCAGGACCUCUACCUG